rnacentral:rRNA from 1 species
UACGAAGGGGGCUAGCGUUGUCCGGAAUCAUUGGGCGUAAAGAGCGUGUAGGCGGUUCGGUAAGUCAGGGGUGAAAUCCCGAGGCUCAACCUCGGAACUGCCUUUGAUACUGGGGAUAUCGAGUCCGGGAGAGGUGAGUGGAACUGCGAGUGUAGAGGUGAAAUUCGUAGAUAUUCGCAAGAACACCAGUGGCGAAGGCGGCUCACUGGCCCGAUACUGACGCUGAGGUGCGAAAGCCAGGGGAGCGAACGGG